GAUGAACGCUAGCUACAGGCUUAACACAUGCAAGUCGAGGGGUAACGAGAGGAAAGCUUGCUUUCCUUGUCGACGACCGGCGCACGGGUGAGUAACGCGUAUCCAACCUGCCCCCAACUAGGGAAUAACCUUGCGAAAGUAAGACUAAUACCCUAUAAUUUCCUCAGAUGCCAUCUGACGAGGAAUAAAGAUUUAUCGGUUGUGGAGGGGGAUGCGUCUGAUUAGCUUGUUGGCGGGGUAACGGCCCACCAAGGCAACGAUCAGUAGGGGUUCUGAGAGGAAGGUCCCCCACAUUGGAACUGAGACACGGUCCAAACUCCUACGGGAGGCAGCAGUGAGGAAUAUUGGUCAAUGGGCGGAAGCCUGAACCAGCCAAGUAGCGUGCAGGAUGACGGCCCUAUGGGUUGUAAACUGCUUUUAUACAGGAAUAAAGUUAGCCACGUGUGGUUAUUUGUAGGUACUGUAUGAAUAAGGACCGGCUAAUUCCGUGCCAGCCGCCGCAGUAAGAC
rnacentral:rRNA from 1 species